rnacentral:lncRNA from 1 species
GGCUUAUAUUGGCAAGAUACACCCUGGUGAUGCUUGUGGCAGGCAUUUGGAUUGGGCUUUCUAUAAUAUUUUAUUAUAUGAAUAUAUCAGAAUUGAUUUACCAACACUACCUUUCCUGGUUGUCUGGGUUACUCAUAAGUUCUUGAUAUUAUGAACUGUGCUUUUAUGAACAUUCUUACAUUUAUGCAGUUUUAUCCAUGUGCAAUCUAGGAGUGAAAUUGUUAGGUUAAGGGUUAUAUUCAACUUUAGGGGAGAGUGUCAAACUAUUUUUUUAAAUUUUUUUAUUGGUGCAUUAUAGUUUUAUCUAACAGAUUAUGUAUACAUGGAAUAUAAUUUUCCCAUUUCAUUCCCCAGUACUUCCUCUUUCCUUCCCCUCCUCCCUCACCUUUUAUCCUUCCUCUACUCUGCUGGCCUUCCUUUUCUUAUUGCUUCUUUUUAAGUUGGUGCUGUAUAGCUAUACAGAAAGGUGGAAUUCACUGUGGUAUAUUUGUAUGUAUUUAUACCAUAAUUUGGUCAAAUGUAUUCCAAAGUUCUUCCCUUUUCAUGUGCCUCCUCCCUCCCCCUCUACUCCACUGAUAUAUUUUCCUGGGAUCCACUCUCCUUUUUAAUUUUUUUUUUUUCUUAUUGUGCUCUAGCUUCCACAUAUGAGAAAAAAAUUAAAAAAUGGCCCUUGACUUUCUGAGCCUGGCUUAUUUCACUUAACAUGAUGUUCUCCAAUUUCAUCCAUUCAUUCAAUUACCAGUAAAUGCCAUCAUUUCAUUCUCCUUUAUAGCUGAGUAAAACUUGCUUGCAUAGAUAUACCACAUUUUCUUCAUUUAUUCAUGUGUUGACAGGCACAUGGGCUGGUUCCAUAACUAAGUUAUUGUGAAUUGUGUUGCAAUAAAUGUUGAUGUAGCUGAAUACCUAUAGUGUGCUGAUUUUAGAUCUUUUGGAUAAAUAUCAAGGAGUAAGAUAACUGGAUCAUCUGCUGAUUCCUUUGAGGAAUAUCCAUUGUGCUUUCCAAAGUGCUUGUACUAAUUCGAAGUCCCACUGACAAUGUCUGAGUGUACUUUUCCCCACCAGGUGCAUGGAGCCUGGUGGAGGAAGUGUGUUCCCGGGAAGUGUGUGUAGAGGGCCAGUGAGAUUUUGGGAAUAAAGGUUGCUGUUUGAACCUACAAGGCUGUGUUAUUUUGUGCCCAGCCAGACUGCGGCAGGGUACAUGGGAAUUUAUGGUAUAAUUUUUCCCCUAUGGCUGGGAACUGAACCUAGGACCUCAUACUCUACGUAAGCACUACUAUGCUCUAACACUGAGUCUCACUGUACAGCCCUGUAUAAUGUUUAUAUAAGUUUGAAAAUUAUAAUAUGCAGGUUGAGGGGGGUUGAUGUAAAAUGAAAUUUUUUUAUAAAAAAUGCUGAAAGCAUAUUCCUAUCAGUAACAACCAAAACUAAACAUUGUCUAAAGCUAUGAAAUUUUCUGGUAAAAGCUACUGAAACUUUUUUGUUUUAAUGAAUAUCCAAACUGACUAAUGUUGGCCAGUGUUUCAUUCUGGAAAACUAAUUUGAUAAAUGAGCAUUCAUAAAUUAAUUCC